rnacentral:lncRNA from 1 species
CUCCAGCUCCAGCCUUCCUCCAGCAGCCCGGGCAGUGCCAGGAUCUUCCUCAGUGCCAGGAUCUUCCUCAGUGCCAGGACCUUCCUCAGUGCAGGACCUUCCUCAGUGCAGGAUCUUCCUCAGCACCAGGACCUUCCUCAGUGCAGGAUCUUCCUCAGUGCCAGGAUCUUCCUCAGACCAGGAUCUUCCUCAGUGCAGGACCUUCCUCAGUGCCAGGACCUUCCUCAGUGCAGGACCUUCCUCAGUACCAGGACCUUCCUCAGUGCAGGACCUUCCUCAGUACCAGGACCUUCCUCAGUGCAGGACCUUCCUCAGUGCCAGGAUCUUCCUCAGACCAGGAUCUUCCUCAGCACCAGGAUCUUCCUCAGCACCAGGACCUUCCUCAGUGCAGGAUCUUCCUCAGCACCAGGACCUUCCUCAGUGCAGGACCUUCCUCAGUGCAGGACCUUCCUCAGUGCCAGGAUCUUCCUCAGUGCAGGACCUUCCUCAGUACCAGGACCUUCCUCAGUACCAGGAUCUUCCUCAGACCAGGACCUUCCUCAGCACCAGGACCUUCCUCAGUACCAGGACCUUCCUCAGUGCAGGACCUUCCUCAGUGCCAGGAUCUUCCUCAGACCAGGAUCUUCCUCAGUGCAGGACCUUCCUCAGUGCCAGGAUCUUCCUCAGACCAGGAUCUUCCUCAGUGCAGGACCUUCCUCAGCACCAGGACCUUCCUCAGUACCAGGAUCUUCCUCAGCACCAGGACCUUCCUCAGUGCAGGACCUUCCUCAGUGCCAGGACCUUCCUCAGUACCAGGAUCUUCCUCAGCACCAGGACCUUCCUCAGUGCAGGACCUUCCUCAGUGCCAGGACCUUCCUCAGUGCAGGACCUUCCUCAGUGCCAGGACCUUCCUCAGUGCCAGGACCUUCCUCAGUGCAGGACCUUCCUCAGUGCCAGGACCUUCCUCAGUGCCAGGACCUUCCUCAGUGCAGGACCUUCCUCAGUGCCAGGAUCUUCCUCAGUGCAGGACCUUCCUCAGUGCCAGGAUCUUCCUCGGAGCCGCGCCAUCCCCGGGAGCUGCGCCAGGCUCCGGCCACAGCAGCUCAGGACAAGGAGAUCUCUUUGCGUUCCUCUCGAAAACACCCCCGGCUGUGCUGAGGAGCCAGAAAAAGCCUGUUAGGAACAAUUCCUGGUGGUUCCAGCCUCAGCUCCCCGAGGAACACCGCGGGAUGGGCCGGGGCGGGCGCUGUCCGCUCUCACCCCGUGCUCUCCCCGUUCCGGUGAGCAUCGCAAACAGGAAGCCCGGCCGAGCCACGGGAAACGUGGGAGGCCCUGAAGGUUUUGGGGAGGUGAUAAACAC